UAGGGAAUUUUGCGCAAUGGACGAAAGUCUGACGCAGCAACGCCGCGUGAAGGAUGAAGGUUCUCGGAUUGUAAACUUCUGUUGAGUGGGAAGAAAAGCCCGCAAGGGUCUGACGGUACCACUUGAGUAAGCACCGGCUAACUACGUGCCAGCAGCCGCGGUAAUACGUAGGGUGCAAGCGUUGUUCGGAAUUACUGGGCGUAAAGGGAGUGUAGGCGGGGUUAUAAGUUAGAAGUUUAAUCCAGCGGCUCAACCGAUGGACUGCUUUUAAUACUGUAAUUCUUGAGUAUGGGAGAGGGCGAUGGAAUUCCAGGUGUAGCGGUGGAAUGCGUAGAUAUCUGGAAGAACACCAGUAGCGAAGGCGGUCGCCUGGCCCAAUACUGACGCUGAGGCUCGAAAGCUAGGGGAGCAAACAGG
rnacentral:rRNA from 1 species